CCUACGGGAGGCAGCAGUGGGGAAUAUUGCACAAUGGGGGAAACCCUGAUGCAGCGACGCCGCGUGAGUGAAGAAGUAUUUCGGUACGUAAAGCUCUAUCAGCAUGGAAGAAAAUUACGGUACCUGACUGAGAAGCCCCGGCUAACUACGUGCCAGCAGCCGCGGUAAUACGUAGGGGGCAAGCGUUAUCCGGAUUUACUGGGUGUAAAGGGAGCGUAGACGGCAGCGCAGGUCUGGAGUGAAAUCCCAUGGCUUAACCAUGGAACUGCUGUGGAGACUGUGCAGCUAGAGUGCAGGAGAGGUAAGCGGAAUUCCUAGUGUAGCGGUGAAAUGCGUAGAUAUCACGAGGAACACCAGUGGCGAAGGCGGCUUACUGGACUGUAACUGACGUUGAGGCUCGAAAGCGUGGGGAGCAAACAGGAUUAGAUACCCUGGUAGUC
rnacentral:rRNA from 1 species